GAUUCAAGCAGAAAGAGGAAAAUGUUUCACAGUCCACAAUAGAUCGCUUAGGUAAUAUAGUAUAUAAGCAUCCAGUCAGUUAAGUAACCGUAAUUAUUUUUAGUAUUUUUUAAAUGGGAAUCACAAAAUCGGCG